ACUCGGUGAAGAUCGACUAUAUUCGUACUCGGUGAAGGUAUUUUCCGGUGAAAUUAUAUUUGGUUAAUACAUAUCUAGUUAAACCUUCCAGUUGUAUAAUAAUUGUGUAUAGUUAUGUUGACAAAAUUGUGUGAACAACAUAAACCGACUUAUUGGUUAAAGUGACAUUAUUGAGAUCCUAAAAAAUGAGGAUGUAAUACAUUUUUAGACAUUGUUGAUUUUCAUGGAAUUUCCAACGAUCCCCAAUAUCUGCUAUAGAUAACUGCAUGUUACUUACCUGGAAUGAUAAACUUUAAUAAAGCAAUGAAGAGUCAAGAAAAAGGACAAAAUAUUGUAACUAUAAAACAUAUUCAACGAUAGAGAGC
rnacentral:lncRNA from 1 species